rnacentral:rRNA from 1 species
GUAGGGAAUAUUGGGCAAUGGGCGAGAGCCUGACCCAGCCAUGCCGCGUGCAGGAAGAAGGCUUUCUGAGUCGUAAACUGCUUUUGAUAGGGAAGAAUAAGGACUACGUGUAGUCUGAUGACGGUACCUACAGAAUAAGCACCGGCUAACUCCGUGCCAGCAGCCGCGGUAAUACGGAGGGUGCGAGCGUUGUCCGGAUUUAUUGGGUUUAAAGGGUGCGUAGGCGGCCCGUUAAGUCCGGGGUGAAAGCCCGUUGCUCAACAACGGAACUGCCCUGGAUACUGGCGGGCUUGAGACUAGUGGAGGUUGGCGGAAUGGACCGAGUAGCGGUGAAAUGCAUAGAUACGGUCCAGAACCCCGAUUGCGAAGGCAGCUGACUACACUAGGACUGACGCUGAGGCACGACAGCGUGGGGAGCGAACAGG